UUGCAGGAAAAGCAAGAAAUUACAAUUGAAAAAGCCAAGUGUAAUAAGCAGAAAUGUAUCACCAUUGUGAAAGCACUGCAGCUUUUUGGGGAGGGGAUUGGGUGCAGAGAGAGGUGAGGGCAGGUGCACGAUUAGGGGGACAGAAAGAGAGUUGAUUGGGUCCACCAUGAACAAAGCUCCUUUGAAGUUCGAAAGCCCGAUAUGAAAUGCAAUUUCCAUAAUCCUGUUCGCCCUGAAAUCCGACAAUGUCCUCAUCUCCUCUCGCGACCUAUAUUAAGAUUGUACGACCUGGAAGUGACGGGCAUACCAAAUGGAUCCAUGGAUGGAUGAAACUAUGAAGAAGACUCAUGUCAGCCGCCAAGCUACCCGAAAACUUCCAAAUCUUGCGUGGAUUUUUCAAUGAGUUGCACACCUCAAUUCGGUUGUUGCGGUUGACAGGAUUAAAGCCCAGUUUCAGCA